rnacentral:rRNA from 1 species
AUUGAACGCUGGCGGCAGGCCUAACACAUGCAAGUCGAACGAGUGGCGGACGGGUGAGUAAUGUCUGGGAAACUGCCCGAUGGAGGGGGAUAACUACUGGAAACGGUAGCUAAUACCGCAUACCAUCGGAUGUGCCCAGAUGGGAUUAGCUAGUAGGUGGGGUAAAGGCUCACCUAGGCGACACUCCCUAGCUGGUCUGAGAGGAUGACCAGCUACACUGGAACUGAGACACGUUCCAGACUCCUACGGGAGGCAGCAGUGGGGAAUAUUGCACAAUGGGCGCAAGCCUGAUGCAGCCAUGCCGCGUGUAUGAAGAAGGCCUUCGGGUUGUAAAGUACUUUCAGCGAGGAGGCGUUACCCGCAGAAGAAGCAUCGGCUAACUCCGUGCCAGCAGCCGCGGUAAUUC